GACGAAGGUGGCGAGCGUUGUUCGGAAUCACUGGGCAUAAAGCGCACGUAGGCGGCGACGUCAGUUGGGUGUGAAAUCCCUCGGCCCAACCGAGGAACUGCGCCCAGUACUGCGUUGCUUGAGGAUCCAAGGGGUGCAUGGAAUUCCCGGUGGAGCGGUGAAAUGCGUUGAUAUCGGGAGGAACUCCGGCGGCGAAAGCGGUGCACUGGUGGAUUACUGACGCUGAGGUGCGAAAGCCAGGGGAGCAAACGGG
rnacentral:rRNA from 1 species